rnacentral:rRNA from 1 species
AUUGAACGCUGGCGGGAUGCUUUACACAUGCAAGUCGAACGGUAGAGGGGGCAACCCCUCGAGAGUGGCGAACGGGUGAGUAAUAUAUCGGAACGUGCCCAGUCGUGGGGGAUAACGUAGCGAAAGUUACGCUAAUACCGCAUACGAUCUAAGGAUGAAAGCGGGGGAUCGCAAGACCUCGCGCGAUUGGAGCGGCCGAUAUCAGAUUAGGUAGUUGGUGGGGUAAAGGCUCACCAAGCCAACGAUCUGCAGCUGGUCUGAGAGGACGACCAGCCACACUGGAACUGAGACACGGUCCAGACUCCUACGGGAGGCAGCAGUAGGGAAUUUUGACAAUGGACGCAAGUCUGAUCCAGCCAUUCCGCGUGCAGGAUGAAGGCCCUCGGGUUGUAAACUGCUUUUGUACGGAACGAAAAGGUCUCUCUUAAUACGGGGGACUCAUGACGGUACCGUAAGUAUAAGCACCGGCUAACUACGUGCCAGCCGCCGCCGUAA